rnacentral:rRNA from 1 species
UCACGUGGGGGGGAAGUUGGUCAAUACCUAACGGCUGAACCAGCAACUUGGGGGAAUGUAAAUGAAAUAAGUGAAAAAAUUAACUUUAAAUAUAGUUCUAGAUAAAAUAUUGAUAAUGACAAAAUUUUAUCUAUAUGUCUUGACCAAAUCUUGUGCCAGCAGUCGCGGCAACACAAGGAAGACUAGUGUUAUUCAUCUUUAAUCGGUUUAAAGGGUACCUAGACGGUAAAUUAGGCCUUAUUCAACAUGUUGAAUUAGAGGAACGUUUUUACUAGAGUUAUAUAAAUAGGAAUAUGUUAGUAUUACCAGAGUAGAGAUGAAAUUCAGUAAUACUGUUAAGACUGGUAAAGGCAAAAGCAAACCUUUAUAUAUUAACUGACGUUGAGGGACGAAGGCUUGGGGAGCGAAUAGGAUUCGGUACCCUAAUAGUCCAGGCAGAAAAUUAUGAAUGCCAUAGAUUAUAUAAAAUAAUCUAUAAAUGAAAGUGUAAGCAUUCCACCUCAAGAGUAAUGUGGCAACGCAGGAACUGAAAUCAUUAGACCGUUUCUGAUACCAGUAGUGAAGUAUGUUAUUCAAUUUGAUGACCCGCAAAUAACCUUACCACAAUUUGAAUAUAUUAAAAAAAUAGUAUUUAACCCUUUUUUUUUAAUAUACAAGCGUUGCAUUGUUGUCUUUAGUUAAUGUUGUGAGAUUUGGUUAGAUUCAUUAAAUUAACGUAAUCCUAUACUUUAUUUAGAUAUUAAUAAAGUAGUUCACCGCUAUAUUGGAUAUUUAUAAAUAGGAACAAGACAAGUCGUAAUGACCUUAAUAUUGUGGGCUUAAACCCGGGCCACA